AGUCAAUUUAUGCAAAAUCCAAAAGUGCACAUCUUCAAGGGGUGAAAAGAAUUCUCAGGUACAUCAAAGACACUCUGCAUUUUAGACUUAGACUUAUUUCACAAUCACCAUGUAGGUUGUAUGGAUACUCUGAUGCUGAUUGGGGAGGUUGUACAACUACUAGAAGUUCAACUACAGGCUAUAGCAUCUACCUAGGUGCAAACUGUAUUUCUUGGACCUCCAAGAAACAAUCCACAGUUGCUCGUUCAAGUGCUGAAGCUGAGUAUAGAGCACUUGCCUCCACUGCAUCAGAGAUGACAUUGAUCAUGUAUUUACUUCAUGAUCUUGGGGUGUUUUUUCUGAUCUGUACCUUCUUACAACUCAUCCUUCACUUGAUCUGUUUGUGUUUGUGAUAUGCUAAAAUCAAAGGCAGGGCUACCUCUGUUUGUCUGGAUAAAUUCAAUAAUGGCCUCUUUUGUUUUAUUACCCUCAAACCGUGACAAACUACCCGUUGAAGAUCUCAAGUAUAAAGUUGGGAAUCCUUCAACUUCAAAUACGUCACGAGGUAUAUCAUUUUCCGUUCCAUCAAUUUUAGCAAUCACGACAUGAGGAUCUUUUUCAAAUGAGAUAGCUAUUUCAUCCAAGACGGGAGCAAACUCCUCACAAUAUCUACACCCAAGUCGAUAGAACUCCAACAGUACAUCUUUUCCCGAAUUGAACACCAUAUCCUCAAGAGUCUCUGCAACCACCACCUUCACAGUUUCAUUGUUAAAUUCUGGAAUUGGCUGUGACUUCAAGUAUGGCUUCAACUUUCCGUCCUUACAAUCCUUCAACCAAGAUGCAAGGUUAUCGGGUUGUACAUGUCGCUGAACGUAUUUUGUGCUACCCAUGGUAAGUACGAAGAUUAAAGGUGUCUGAUCAGUGUCCAAUCCAAAAUACUGAAGGGCCUUUUUACCACUCUCAGCAUCUCCCAAGAGGAAGUUUGUUUCCUUUCCCUUGUAACUGAGUGCAAGAUCAUAGUACUUAAUCUUGAAAGCAUCAAGAUCAGUGCUGAAGUUCAGAAAUAGAAAUACCUUGUCUCCUGGACUAUGCAAAAAGUGAUUAACAAAUUGUUGGUUUUCUGGAUUAUCAUCAAGAAUAGCCAUGAUUGGGACACUAGUUUCUUCAAUGAAAUUCUGCAUUGCCUCAAUUUGAAAAUCCUCGAAAUCAGCAUAAAGUUCAUCAUAUGGCUUCAAUAGACGGAUAGUUGGCUUAUCAACCAGCCCACCACGAGGAAGGAGUUUGGCAUCAAGUGUGUGAACAAAAUCGUAAUCUACUCGUAAAUCUUCAGCUAAAGUAGUAAAAUUGAUGAUCUUCUCUAAAGAGAGUUGUGGAAAUAUACCAGCAACAACAAUCUUUUUCUCAUCAAUAAAGGUUGCAGCAUCUUUCUCGGUUUUGAUUUCAAGAGAUGCAGGGCCCCCAUGUUUUUUCAAAUAAGCAAUUAUACCUUCCGUCUCACGAGUACCUUUGUAAUCAUGAACCGUCUUCCCACCAUUACGGAAGAUCUUAAUGCUUGGAACACCAUUAAUGGUGAAAUUUCUUGCAAGUUCAGCAUUUUCUAGAAUUGUUGUAUCCAUUUUAGCAAGAAUAACUGGAGGAUCAUGAUUACUCAAUACCGAAGCUGCUUCUUCGUACUUUGGCUCAAGUUGCUGGCAGUAUCCACACCAUGGGGCAUAGAACUGAACAACGAUCAUCUUGUGCUGGGAAAUAAUUUGAGAGUAAUUAGUAUGGUCCAAAGUCCAUACAACCUCAUUUUCUGCUGCAAAAGCAGUAACAGCAAGAAGAGCUGCUAAAACAAGAAAUUUCAUCAUCA
rnacentral:misc_RNA from 1 species